AGCUUGUCAAGGCUUGGAGAUGGGCCUUGGGAAACCAAAGCUUCAGGCAGGCAGGCAGCACCUACUUGUUACAGGGACACACACAAAGCCCGCAGAAUUUUCCUAGGUCCGUCAAAUUCUUUUCUGCUUCUUUCAUGUCCUUAUUGAUUUGGUCCAUCCCUUCCUCAAUGCGUUCCAGUUGUUCUGAUUAAACACAAGUAUUUUAUCCCCACAGAAUGAAGCAGAUGGAAAAGGACAAAGAAAAAAAAGACAAAACUUCAGACAUUCACUUUGACAUUAAAAAAGAAAAAAAUUAAAAGAAAGAAGAAAAAAAAGAAAACUGGACGCCACAGAUUAGAGCUGGUACCCAGUACCUACUUGUUACAAGGACAUAUGAAAAGGCCACAGCAUUUCCCUAAAUCUUUUAAAUUUUUCUCGGCCUCCUUCAUGUCUUGGUUGAUAUGGUUCAUGCCUUCUUCGACACGAUCGAGUUGUUCUGGUUAGGACAAAGGGAUGACAGUGUGGAAUGAAUUUUUUUUGGGUUUCCAACAGAACAUGAGAAAUGACUAUGUGGAACGGAAUUUGAAAGAGAAAGAUAUUACAAUGCACGAUCCCAGAGGAUGCAUUGCUGUAGACUGCUGCCACCUUACACGAGCACAGGUGGAAGGAAAUGAACAAGAAAGAUGUUCAAAAGAGUCUGUAAUUCGGACAUGAUGGGAUGGAGCUGGGCAGGAGACACGUUGCCGUGGUGCUGGGCACCCGCAGAAGACUGAAACCAGGGAAACCAGCAGAGUGCCAGAGCCUGCAGUCUUGAAGCAGCACCUUUUGCAAGAUUGCCACGUGGAGAUAAAUAAGUGCACCUUCUCACCCUGUUCUCUAUCUUUGUAUUUUGCUGCUGAGUUCCUUGGGGGAACAUCUGCCUUCACUCUAAGCAAGCAACUGACCUUUCUUUCCUCCCAACAGAUAAUAGUUCUGCUAUGUCUCUCCUUGAAGCAACCAGGACCUACAAACACAAUCCCACUCUGAAAAAAAUUCAUCAUGCACCAACCUACCAAGUGGUUAAGCUAAGAGACUCAUGUAAAAUAUUUGCUCUAAAAAUGAAUUCACUGCAGGAUUUCUUUAAAAUAGCAAAGCUCCUGGCUUGCAUUCUAGCAUGUUACAGACUGUUAAGUACUUGACAGAAAGAAUGGAACCAAAAAAUAAAAAAGUUCAACCAAAGUGUCAGGAGUCCCAGCUGAUGUCAGAAGAGAUCCAAUUGAUGAUACAGUGUCUCUGAAGUGACUGUAUAAGUCAAUGGGAAUAGAAGACUGAUUUAUAAAGUUAGAUUCAUCCAAAUCUCCAGUUGCUUAAGCCAGAAUCAUUUAAAUUUUUAGUACACAAAAAUCUUCAAGUUAAGGAACAUGUAACUUCACAGAAUAUGGAGCCUGAUCAAAAGUUAAUG